CAGGCCUGAACAACGAAGUUGUCUCCAUACAUCAAGGAGGCCAUGAAUUAUAAUAGCGAGUUGGUUUACCUGUCUGUCUCUAUAUCGUGUGGCGUAAUUCACUUCGAUUUUUGGUAAAGUUGCCUCAGCAAUCCAAAAAACUUGCUGUGCAGACCUACAAUUCCCUUCAGUGGGCCCCUUUCCGAGACAGUGGACUCCAACGCUUUAUCUCAACUACUCCAAAGUUAGCAAUGGUUAUUCAGACUCAAGAGACCCCAAAUCCAAACAGUCUCAAGUUUUUGCCAGGGGUUAAAAUUCUAGAGGAGGGCCAAACUAUAGAUUUUCCUAACAGACAAGCGGCUUAUUGUUCACCUUUGGGAUACUUACUUUUCCAAAUUAAAAGUGUUAAAAGUGUUUCUCUGGGACCGGAAUUUAUCACUGUUACUAAAACCGAUGAUAAAAUUGAAUGGAUAGUUAUUAAACCUGAGAUUUCGGCCACAAUUAUGGACUUUUUUGACAGCGGAUUACCGGUCUUGAAUGACGCCACCCCGAACGCAGACACGCAAAUCAACGAAGAUGAUUCCAUAUGACGGUUUUCUCACGAAAAGCAGUUUUAAAUAAGUGUAAAGUAAAAAGAAAGUACUAGGGCGUAAUUAACGAUUAUGGUUGUAUGUAAUUGAAGGGUGGAGAUAAAAAAAUAAACUAAAUUAAAUGUU